UACGGAGGGUGCAAGCGUUAUCCGGAUUUACUGGGUUUAAAGGGUGCGUAGGUGGAUUGGUGAGUCAGUGGUGAAAUACUUUCGCUUAACGAAGGAACUGCCAUUGAUACUACCAGUCUUGAAUACAGUGGAGGUGGGCGGAAUGCGUCAUGUAGCGGUGAAAUGCUUAGAUAUGACAUAGAACACCAAUUGCGAAGGCAGCUGGCUACACAAAUAUUGACACUGAGGCACGAAAGCGUGGGGAUCAAACAGG
rnacentral:rRNA from 1 species